rnacentral:rRNA from 1 species
GGCUCAGGAUGAACGCUGGCGGCGUGCUUAACACAUGCAAGUCGAGCGAAGCACUCUGGAAGAUUCCUCGGGAUGAUUCCUAGUGACUUAGCGGCGGACGGGUGAGUAACGCGUGGGCAACCUGCCUUGUACAGGGGGAUAACAGUUAGAAAUGACUGCUAAUACCGCAUAAGCACACAGCAUGGCAUCAUGCAGUGUGAAAAACUCCGGUGGUACAAGAUGGGCCCGCGUUGGAUUAGCUUGUUGGUGGGGUAAACGGCCCACCAAGGCGACGAUCCAUAGCCGGACUGAGAGGUCGAACGGCCACAUUGGGACUGAGACACGGCCCAGACUCCUACGGGAGGCAGCAGUGGGGAAUAUUGCACAAUGGAGGAAACUCUGAUGCAGCCGACGCCGCGUGAGUGAUGAAGUAUUUCGGUAUGUAAAGCUCUAUCAGCAGGGAAGAAGACGACGGUACCUGACUAAGAAGCCCCGGCUAACUACGUGCCAGCAGCCGC